GAGACACCCCUAUGGAGCAAGACUUGCUUCAGUGGGGCUUAGCUCACUGAGUCUGCCCCUUGAGUGUGUUGCU
rfam:Myotis lucifugus cont2.30233, whole genome shotgun sequence.